rnacentral:rRNA from 1 species
UGGGGAAUAUUGGACAAUGGGCGAAAGCCUGAUCCAGCCAUGCCGCGUGUGUGAAGAAGGUCUUCGGAUUGUAAAGCACUUUAAGUUGGGAGGAAGGGCAGUAAGUUAAUACCUUGCUGUUUUGACGUUACCAACAGAAUAAGCACCGGCUAACUUCGUGCCUGCAGCCGCGGUAAUACGAAGGGUGCAAGCGUUAAUCGGAAUUACUGGGCGUAAAGCGCGCGUAGGUGGUUCAGCAAGUUGGAUGUGAAAUCCCCGGGCUCAACCUAGGAACUGCAUCCAAAACUACUGAGCUAGAGUACGGUAGAGGGUGGUGGAAUUUCCGGUGUAGCGGUGAAAUGCGUAGAUAUAGGAAGGAACACCAGUGGCGAAGGCGACCACCUGGACUGAUACUGACACUGAGGUGCGAAAGCGUGGGGAGCAAACA